GCAAUCAUACCAGCACUAAUGCACCGGAUCCCAUCAGAACUCUGCAGCUAAGCAUAUUUAUGCGAGAGUAGUACUAGGUUGGGUGACCCCUAGGAAGUCCUCAUGUUGCACCCC